GACUCGGUAGCUUAGCUGGUAAAGCACUCGUCUAGCAUACAAGAGUCGUGGGUUGAAAACCCAACUGAGCA
rnacentral:tRNA from 1 species